rnacentral:rRNA from 1 species
UACGGGGGGUGCAAGCGUUGUUCGGAAUUACUGGGCGUAAAGGGCUCGUAGGCGGCCAACUAAGUCGGAUGUGAAAUCCCCAGGCUCAACCUGGGAACUGCAUCCGAUACUGGAUGGCUUGAAUCCGGGAGAGGGAUGCAGAAUUCCAGGUGUAGCGGUGAAAUGCGUAGAUAUCUGGAGGAAUACCGGUGGCGAAGGCGGCAUCCUGGACCGGCAUUGACGCUGAGGAGCGAAAGCUAGGGGAGCAAACGGG